rnacentral:rRNA from 1 species
AUUUUGGACAAUGGGGGAAACCCUGAUCCAGCCAUCCCGCGUGUAUGAUGAAGGCCUUCGGGUUGUAAAGUACUUUUGGCAGAGAAGAAAAGGUAUUCCCUAAUACGGGAUACUGCUGACGGUAUCUGCAGAAUAAGCACCGGCUACCGACGUUCCAGCACCCACGGUAAUAAGUAGGGUGCAAGCGAUAAUCGGAAUUACCGGUCGUAAUGCGUGUGUAGGCGGUUCGGAAAGAAAGAUGUGAAAUCCCAGGGCUCAACCUUGGAACUGCAUUUUUAACUGCCGAGCUAGAGUAUGUCGGAGGGGGGUAGAAUUCCACGUGUAGCAGUGAAAUGCGUAGAUAUGUGGAGGAAUACCGAUGGCGAAGGCAGCCCCCUGGGAUAAUACUGACGCUCAGACACGAAAGCGUGGGGAGCAAACAGG